rnacentral:rRNA from 1 species
GACGAACGCUGGCGGCGUGCUUAACACAUGCAAGUCGAACGGAAAGGCCCAGCUUGCUGGGUACUCGAGUGGCGAACGGGUGAGUAACACGUGGGUGAUCUGCCCUGGACUCUGGGAUAAGCCUGGGAAACUGGGUCUAAUACCGGAUAUGACCUUACAUCGCAUGGUGUUUGGUGGAAAGCUUUUGCGGUUCAGGAUGGGCCCGCGGCCUAUCAGCUUGUUGGUGGGGUAAUGGCCUACCAAGGCGACGACGGGUAGCCGACCUGAGAGGGUGAUCGGCCACACUGGGACUGAGACACGGCCCAGACUCCUACGGGAGGCAGCAGUGGGGAAUAUUGCACAAUGGGCGCAAGCCUGAUGCAGAGACGCCGCGUGAGGGAUGACGGCCUUCGGGUUGUAAACCUCUUUCACCAGGGACGAAGCGUGAGUGACGGUACCUGGAGAAGAAGCACCGGCCAACUACGUG